rnacentral:rRNA from 1 species
UACGGAGGGUGCGAGCGUUAUCCGGAAUUACUGGGUUUAAAGGGUGCGUAGGCGGCUAAGUAAGUCAGGAGUGAAAGUUUGCGGCUCAACCGUAAAAUUGCUUUUGAUACUGCAUAGCUAGAAUUAGGAUGAGGUCAGCGGAAUGUGGCAUGUAGCGGUGAAAUGCAUAGAUAUGCCAUAGAACACCAAUUGCGAAGGCAGCUGGCUAGACCUGGGUUGACGCUGAGGCACGAAAGCGUGGGGAGCGAACAGG